rnacentral:rRNA from 1 species
CCUACGGGAGGCUGCAGUGGGGAAUAUUGCACAAUGGGCGCAAGCUUGAUGCAGCCAUGCCGCGUGUGUGAAGAAGGCCUUCGGGUUGUAAAGCACUUUCAGCGGGGAGGAAGGCGUUAAGGUUAAUAACCUUGGCGAUUGACGUUACCCGCAGAAGAAGCACCGGCUAACUCCGUGCCAGCAGCCGCGGUAAUACGGAGGGUGCAAGCGUUAAUCGGAAUUACUGGGCGUAAAGCGCACGCAGGCGGUCUGUCAAGUCGGAUGUGAAAUCCCCGGGCUCAACCUGGGAACUGCAUUCGAAACUGGCAGGCUAGAGUCUUGUAGAGGGGGGUAGAAUUCCAGGUGUAGCGGUGAAAUGCGUAGAGAUCUGGAGGAAUACCGGUGGCGAAGGCGGCCCCCUGGACAAAGACUGACGCUCAGGUGCGAAAGCGUGGGGAGCAAACAGGAUUAGAUACCCCGGUAGUC